rnacentral:rRNA from 1 species
CCCUUAGAUGUUCUGGGCUGCACACGUGCUACACUGGCAGGUUCAGCGAGCUUCAUGCCCUGAUCUGAAAGGAAUGGGAAAUCUUUUCAAAACCUGCCGUGCUUGGGAUAGAUGUUUGCAAUUAUUCAUCUUCAACGAGGAUUGCCUUGUAAGCGCACGUCAUCAGCGUGCAUUGAAUACGACCCUGUAUUCUGUACACACCGCCCGUCGCUCCUACCGAUUGAAGUUUUCGGUGAGUUGACAGGAGGAUUUUUUUGAAACUGGUUCGCCAGUGGAUUUUAGAUCCAAAUGCCCACGAAUCGAUGGCUUUAGAGGAAGGAGAAGUCGUAACA